GUGAGCAACCUGGCUCUAAGAGGGGGACAACAGUUGGAAACGACUGCUAAUACCGCAUAACGUAUCGGGAUGGCAUCUUCCUGAUACCAAAGAUUUUAUCGCUUAGAGAUGGGCUCGCGUCUGAUUAGAUAGUUGGCGGGGUAACGGCCCACCAAGUCGACGAUCAGUAGCCGGACUGAGAGGUUGAACGGCCACAUUGGGACUGAGACACGGCCCAGACUCCUACGGGAGGCAGCAGUGGGGGAUAUUGGACAAUGGGGGCAACCCUGAUCCAGCGACGCCGCGUGAGGGAAGAAGGUUUUCGGAUUGUAAACCUCUGUUGACGGAGAAAAAAAUGAUGGUAUCCGUUUAGAAAGCCACGG
rnacentral:rRNA from 1 species